AUUGAACGCUGGCGGCAUGCUUUACACAUGCAAGUCGAACGGCAGCGCGGGCUUCGGCCUGGCGGCGAGUGGCGAACGGGUGAGUAAUACAUCGGAACGUGCCCAGUAGUGGGGGAUAGCUCGGCGAAAGCCGGAUUAAUACCGCAUACGACCUGAGGGUGAAAGCGGGGGAUCUUCGGACCUCGCGCUAUUGGAGCGGCCGAUGGCAGAUUAGCUAGUUGGUGGGGUAAAGGCCUACCAAGGCGACGAUCUGUAGCUGGUCUGAGAGGACGACCAGCCACACUGGGACUGAGACACGGCCCAGACUCCUACGGGAGGCAGCAGUGGGGAAUUUUGGACAAUGGGCGAAAGCCUGAUCCAGCAAUGCCGCGUGUGUGAUGAAGGCCUUCGGGUUGUAAAGCACUUUUGGCAGGAACGAAAAGGACUGUGCCAAUACCACGGUUCGAUGACGGUACCCGCAGAAUAAGCACCGGCUAACUACGUGC
rnacentral:rRNA from 1 species